ACGUCUGAAUAGUGAGGUAGUCGUGAGAGUGAGCUCAGUCUGUCAGUGACGGUUGGUGAAACAGUGUCGCUCAUGUCUAAGACGAACUUUAACGGAUUCUCUUCCUCUGUUUCUCUCUGGACUUUUAUCUUUAUCCUGACUGUCGUCUCCUGGACUCUGGUUCAAGGUCAGCCUCAGGUGAUUGGUUCAUCCCAGCCAAUCAUCGCUGCCCCGGGGUAUGAUGUCAUCCUGCCAUGCCACCUGGAGCCCGCCAUCGACGUCCAGGGGUUCACAGUGGAGUGGUCGAAGCCAGAUCUGAAGCCCGACCCUUCAGAUCGGCUGAGCCGGGUGGAGUAUGUGCACCUGUACAGAGACCGGCGGGAAGUCCCCGACAUGAAGAUCCCAUCAUACAUCAGGAGGACGGCGCUGUUCACAGAUGACAUGAAACACGGAAACAUUUCACUCAAGAUCAUGAACGUAACAUCUGAGGAUGAAGGAAGAUACAAGUGUUUCAUCCCAAAGCUAAGGAGCCCCGUCAAGUUCUCCAUCGUUCGACUUGUUGUUGAUCCAAACUUUAUGAAAACCUCGACCACAGAGACGCCGCUGAAUCCCUGGACCCCAGAUCCAAAAGACACGAUGGAAGAUCAUCAGACCAAACCAUUCAUCUGGAUCCUGCCUGUGGUUGUCCUGCUCUGUGUGGCUGCUGUUGGAAUCGCAGGAUAUUUUAUCAUUAUACGCCAGCGUAAAAAGCCAGAUGAUGUGGAGUCGGAUGUCACCCUAAAGAAAAUGCUUCCAGCCUAGGUGCCUUGCUCAAGGGAACUUUGCAGGUUGAUGCUGAUGGAGACGAGAAUAUUAAAAGUCUACCGCCCCUGGAUCUUUCUAAUCAGUUUGAGGAUUCAAACCAGCAACACGUCCAGCUCCAGGUGGACUCACCAGACCAGACCAGUGAGACCAUAAAGAAGUCCUGUGGAGACAAAGAUCUGAGCUGAAGUCAAACGCUGGAGGAAUCAAACCCCCGGGAAAAGACCUCUUUAAAGUGACACCUGUCAUUCGUACGUUUGGGUUAACUUUGAAAAGAAAAGCCUGGAAAAACCAAUGUGCCAGAACAGUCAUUUAUUUAUUAGUACUAGUAUUAUUUAGUUUUUCCUAUGGAAGAAGGACUUCAAAUUCUGUGGCAGUGCCACAUUUAUUCUUGUAGUUAUUUCCAAUUUUAUAUUUUCAUUUGGAACAUUGUUGGUCGAGGACAUUUUCGAUGGGAAACUGGAGACGACAGACCUCACAUCAACAUGAUGGACCAGAAUGACGUCAGGAGUUUGGGAUCCUGCCUCUUCCCCAGAGGAGGACGACUGUGAUCGCCCCGUUAUGGGCUGAACUGAAAUUUGUGAUUUACAAACUCGUUGGUGAUGGUUUGUAAAUUCAAACUGGACCAAGCUCUAUCUACAAAGUGGAUCCACUGAUCGCUGAAUUGAAACAGACUGCAGCAAACUAGUUCUCACAUUUUGAUCAGUUCAAUAUUUUCACUGCACUCUGCACUGUGAUGCAGAAUUCGUGGUUAUCGAGAUAACUUCAGGUUUAAUCCUGAGUUUCAUAGUUAAAACGGUGGUUCUCUUCUUAACGGAGCCGUACAUUAUGCUGCAAACAGAAAUUAUGUUUGAAAUAACAGCAUAUAAAAAUACUUGAUUUCAGUUUUUCCUGUCGGCUGCAGCCUGAUUGAAGCACUGAAGCCUCACACUUAUUGGACCACUCUGAACCACUUGAAGUUUAUUUUUUAGAUUUGUUGGCAGCUGAGAGACCAAACCUGUCCUACAUAUCGUUACACUAACGUAGUCACAGUCAGAUCUACUCGUGCUCAUUAAUUACGGGCCUGUUCAUUUAUUUGCAUUUUUUCCAGCUGCCCGUCCUGUUCACAGCAGCUGCAUCUAGUCUGGAUUCACUUCUUCAUAUUUGUCUAAUAUUAGUUUGUGAUCGGUCAUGAGACUCGUGUAUGUGAACUAGUCAACUCUGCUGUGGGUGAAAAGCUCCUGCACAGGCCUCAGGUGUAAGAGGAGGUGAUACAGAUCAGACCUGACGCCUGAUAAAUGCUGUUUUAACAGCCGACGUACAGGUCAAUGAAGUGUGAACUAGACAUUUCUAAACUUAGGAAACACUUUACAUUCAAACGGAUUGAUUUACUGAACUUGAACUGCAUAGACAGGAAUGUUUCUGUGUUUAUUUAAGACGCUAAUUCCCCCUCUUCUUUAAUUUAUGAAUCCUGAUUACUUCAGUUUAUACUGACAGUUAGCAGUGUUAGAUGUUAGUGUUAGACUAAUAUGAAAACAGUUACAGUGGCUGUAUCAGCUCACACCCUGCUGUGCUGUCUAAUAAGAGAUGUUAGUUGCAGCUGCAGUCGUCUGGCACAUUUGAUUCAGAGCCGACUUUUCUUUAUUGGAGACAAAUGAGUCUUUCAAAGUUUAAACUCUCUGCUCCCUCAACAGCAAACUGUGAAAGUACCUUGUAGCAGGGCACCUGUAUUUAAUCAUUAUAUCCCUAUUUUUAUUUGUUUAUCCAAUAAAAUAUACUGUUUGUUUGUGUGUGACCUUCAUGCUACCUCUGUUUAUUAAACGACACUGAAUGUAAUCUGAAUAAAGCUAUUGAGACCAGAUCUGCACUUUAUUGUCAGUUGGUACAAAAUAAACCUCUUGUUCAAUGA